AAAAUUUUAGACCCAAAUUGCCCAAUACCCAAACCCAACUAAAUUAACCUAAACCCUAGCCCAUUUUCAGAAAAGAAAAAACAGCAGCCCCCUAACCCUAGGUGCGCCGCACCUAGGGUCAUCCACUUGCCCUGGUCGCCGGCGCCGCACGUCACGUCUCUGCCAUCACCGACUCCACCCACUUGUCUGCAAAAUCAGAGAAAGAAAUGACAAGUAAAAAAAUAAUAGAUCAAAAUAUUGUAAACAUGGCUAUAAAGCCAUAACAACCAAUGUAAAAAGGGGAUCCUUUUUUCUCCUAGGAGAUUUUGAAGGAAAAGAAAUAGAAACAGAAAAAAGGUUGUUACCGAUUUCGAUCUAAAGGUUUCUUUUAAUUUUUACUUCUUUUUACUCAAUUUUUU
rnacentral:lncRNA from 1 species